GAUGAAGAACGUAGUGAAAUGCGAUAAGUAAUGUGAAUUGCAGAAUUCAGUGAAUCAUCGAAUCUUUGAACGCACAUUGCGCCCGCCAGUAUUCUGGCGGGCAUGCCUGUUCAAGCGUCAUUACAACCCUCAGGCCCCCGGGCCUGGCGUUGGGGAUCGGCAGAAGCCCCCUGUGGGCACACGCCGUCCCUCAAAUACAGUGGCGGUCCCGCCGCAGCUUCCAUUGCGUAGUAGCUAACACCUCGCAACUGGAGAGCGGCGCGGCCAUGCCGUAAAACACCCAACUUCUGAAUGUUGACCUCGAAUCAGGUAGGAAUACCCGCUGAACUUAAGCAUAUCAAUAAGCGGAGGA
rnacentral:misc_RNA from 1 species